GAUCACGGAGGAUGCACAGCAAAUCACCGGAGAUGGCAGCAAAACCCGGUAGAUUACCGGAGACGGCGGCAGAUCGCCGGAGAUGGCGGCAGAAAUCCGGCGGUAGAUCACCGGAGACAAGUGGUAGAUCGCCGGAGAUAGCGGUAGAAGCACCGCGGAUAGCCGAUCACCGGAGAUGGUGGAGAUCGCGGAAAAAGAGGAACGGAGAGGAAUAGGUACGCCGCCUCUCGGAAAAGAGGUAAAUGCGCUCG
rnacentral:misc_RNA from 1 species